rnacentral:lncRNA from 1 species
AGUGUGAGUGACACAUCGGAGUCUCCAGGCCUCGACACCUUUGAGUGUGAGCCACACAUCGGAGUCUCGGUGCUUUGCUCUCAAGAUUAGAUCUUCGAGCAAAGGUAGCAUCUUGGGCAUGCUUUCUACUGUAGCAUUCGGCAUCCAGAUUUUUUUUCUCUACUGAUCUUUAUUGGGUCAAUAGCUCCUAUGCGACAUCUUUGAUGUGAAUUGAAAGGAGUGAGACGUCUUUUGUUCGAAUUGUCUUGUACGACACUUCUGAGCGAGAAAAUAGCCCAGACACGACAUGACCCUUAAUCUGAACUGAUGCCCCUCAUUAGCUGUUAGGGGCUGGACCCACNNN